GACGAACGCUGGCGGCGUGCUUAACACAUGCAAGUCGAGCGGAGCGGCGAACGGGUGAGUAACGCGUGAGUAACUGCCCCCCUCUCUGGGAUAACAGAUGGAAACGGCCGCUAAUACCGGCAAGUGGGGGGGGACUCGCGUCCUAUCAGCAUGUUGGUGGGGUAGUGGCCUACCAAGGCGACGACGGGUAGCCGGCCUUAGAGGUUGACCGGCCACGUUGGGCUGAGAUACGGCCCAGACUCCGACGGGAGGCAGCAGUGGGGGAUAGUGCACAAUGGGCGAAAGCCUGAUGCAGCGACGCCGCGUGGGGGAUGAAGGCUUUCGGGUUGUAAACCUCUUUCGCUAUCGAAAGGGUAGGUGGAGGAGAAGCGCCGGCUAACUACGUGCCAGCAGCCGCGGUAAUAC
rnacentral:rRNA from 1 species